rnacentral:rRNA from 1 species
AUGGACGCCGCCGCCGCCGCCGCCGUCACCACCCUCUCCGCGCUCGCCGUCUUCGCCAGCACGCUCCACCAAGGUGCCGUGCGGAGCGUGCACGGGUACAGGGUCGUCGCGAUGGGAGGGAGGUGCGCGUGGGACCGGUGGGUGGAGCGGGAGUUCGCCUUCUCCCCCACCUCCUGCCGCGAGGUCCCGCUCCCCGCCGCCGCGCCGCGGAUACUCCCGGUCGAGUGGCGCGGCCGCCCGGCGUACCGCGAGGGCCAGGUGUUUGGCACCUGGCGCUGCGUCCUGGCCUUCGACUCCAUCGCCGCCGUGCCGCUGCCGCCCACGCCUCCCCCGAUGCUCUGCCCCUUCCGGAACCCGGGGCUGGUGUGCGUGCCUUCGCUGUACAACGACCUGUACAUGGUGUAUCAGUUUCAGAAAUUUCAACAGGUCCCGGAGCUCGUCAAACGUGAUUCGGAUGAGAAAUCGACCCGUUUGGAUGCAGAGGAUAAAACUUGUGAUGUUGAAGUUAAAGAAGAGUCAGGGUCUGAUUCUGAUGAGGAUCCCCAAUCUGGUGAAGAACUUCCAGCACAUGUUGCGAGACGCCGGAGAGCCAAGAAGCAGCACAUAGCUAGCAUCACUCUAGCUGACAUAGCCCCGUACUUCCAUCUUCCAAUCAGAGAAGCAUCCAGGGCUCUGAAGAUCGGAGUCAGCAUACUGAAGCAGAAAUGCAGGCAAUACGGGAUACCCCGCUGGCCUCACAGGAAGAUCAAGUCCCUCGAUUCACUGAUUGGUGAUCUGGAGGUAAAUCUGGCAGCACCCUCUGCCCUUCUCCACCUGAUCAAUGAUUCCGGUUUCGCAAACAUAGCUGGGCAACAUUUGGCCGUAGUCUGCAGCAGUGGAUCAUGUAGUGCCGACCUGCUGACACCAACACAACACAUUCUUUUUUUGUGUCCAUUGUUACAGUUUGUGAUGGACGACACAGAUGGAGAUGUUGUGCAGAAGGAGACUAGCAGGCAGAGGGAGAAGGAGAGGGAGAAGGAGAAGGAGAAGGAGAAGGAGAAGGAGAAGGAGAAGCAGGAGGCGAUCCAAGCGCUGGCUAAGCGGAAGCGGUUGCUGGAGAGCGAGAAGGAGAUCAUCCAGCAGAAGCCUGCCCUGGACCUGAUGGCUGAAACCAAGCUGUUCAGGGAGGACGUUUUCAAGAGGAGAUACAGAGCUAAAAGAUUGCCCGGUCACUGA